CACCCCUAACCAAAAGAAGCAAGACUUGGUGUGGCUAUUGCAAGAGCGUGAAGAAACUGUUCUCCGAGCUUAACGUGUCCUACAAGGUUAUCGAACUGGAUGAAGAAAGUGAUGGAGGUGAAAUCCAAUCCGCUCUAAAGGAGUGGACCGGUCAGAGUAUUGUUCCUAAUGUAUUCAUAGGUGGGAAGCACAUUGGUGGCUCGGAU